rnacentral:lncRNA from 1 species
GUUAGCUCCCUUUCCACUGAUAUUUAAUUUUUGUGUUCUUGCUUUUUUCUUGAUUAGACUUGAUUUUUAUCAGCUGUUAGCUGUAUUAUUUCUCCUCUCUGUCUCCUAUUUCUGCCUAAUUGGAAAAUAAUCUGAUUGUGAAUCUAGCUUCUUUCUGAUAAAAGUACUUUAAGUUAUAAAUGUUCAUCUGAGUACUGUUUCAUCCCAAAUUCUGAUAUUUUAAGCUUUUGAUUGUCACUUAGUUCAAAGCACUUUUUAUUUACUUUUCUUGUGCUUUCUUCCUCGACCCAUGAGAUAGUUAUGUGUGUGCCAUUUAAUUUUGAAAUGGUUGACAUGUGGAGGUGGGGUUCUAUAUACCAU